rnacentral:rRNA from 1 species
GACGAACGCUGGCGGCGUGCUUAACACAUGCAAGUCGAACGGAAAGGCCCUGCUUUUGUGGGGUGCUCGAGUGGCGAACGGGUGAGUAACACGUGAGUAACCUGCCCUUGACUUUGGGAUAACUUCAGGAAACUGGGGCUAAUACCGGAUAGGAGCUCCUGCUGCAUGGUGGGGGUUGGAAAGUUUCGGCGGUUGGGGAUGGACUCGCGGCUUAUCAGCUUGUUGGUGGGGUAGUGGCUUACCAAGGCUUUGACGGGUAGCCGGCCUGAGAGGGUGACCGGGCAAAUUGGGAAUGGAGAAGGGGCAAGACCCCCGCGGGGGGGGGAGGGGGGGGAGUUUGGAACAGGGGGGGGAGGCUGAAGGCAGCACCCCCGGGGGGGGGGGGCGGGCUUUGGGUUAUAAACCGCUUUCCCCGGGGGAGGAGGGGGGAGGGAGGGUAAGGGAAAAAGAAGCCCGGGCAAACGCCGGC